GGGAAAUACACAGCUGAAGCUGGGAAUGAUUGAGGAUCGCAUAAACAUGCAGAGCACUGACUUUUCUUUGAUAACUUUCUCUGUUGAAGUGGAGAAUGAACUGAGAGCCAUGAAAGCUAACAAGUCUGCAGAAAUGUGCAAAAUGCUUGUGAUCAACCAGGAAUUCCAGCCCUUGAAAGAUGCAGAAAUAUGUGGAGAUACAGAGAAAAGCUGUUGUCCUUUGUGGAUCUGCAGAGGUUUCC